rnacentral:tRNA from 1 species
GGGGUUGUGGCUCAGUGGUAGAGUGCUUGCCUAGCAUGUGUGAGACACUGAGUCCAAUUCUCAGCACUCCG